CUAUAAAACCCUUCGUAUCUUUCAACAUCAGAACAUGCAGGAAGUAUCUUCAUCAUUCAGAGCAAAGCAUUAUCGGGGCUUCUUAAGUUGCCUACAGGUUCGAAUCCCGUCUUUUUGUGAUAUCCUUUACAGGCAUGGGAAGGAACUUUGAAGGUCACAUGCGAUAAAUGAACGUGAUGGCAAGGAUCAAACCUUGAGUCUUUCUACUGAUAUUGACAUCACUUGUGCUUAGUGGUGGACCCUAUAGGUGGGGAUUACCAACCAAGGAUUCCUUGUUGGCUCGAAACAUCACUGUGCAAUCAGGUCUGUGCCCUUUAUGUUGUGUGUAUGGUGAGUCAUGUGAACAUAUUUUUGUAUUUAGUAACAUAUGAUAA